AUUGAACGCUGGCGGCAGGCCUAACACAUGCAAGUCGAACGAGUGGCGGACGGGUGAGUAAUGUCUGGGAAACUGCCCGAUGGAGGGGGAUAACUACUGGAAACGGUAGCUAAUACCGCAUACCAUCGGAUGUGCCCAGAUGGGAUUAGCGAGUGGGUGGGGUAACGGCUCACCAAGGCGACGAUCCCUAGCUGGUCUGAGAGGAGGACCAGCCACACUGGGACGGAGACACGGUCCAGACUCCUACGGGAGGCAGCAGUGGGGAAUAUUGGACAAUGGGCGCAAGCCGGAUGCAGCCAUGCCGCGUGGAUGAAGAAGGUUUUCGGGUGGUAAAGUACUGUCGGCGGGGAGGCGUUACUUAACGAGAAAGCACCGGCUAACUACGUGCCAGCAGCCGCGGUAAUAC
rnacentral:rRNA from 1 species